GGAGACACACGGCGGGUGCUAACGUCCGUCGUGAAGAGGGAAACAACCCAGACCGCCAGCUAAGGUCCCAAAGUCAUGGUUAAGUGGGAAACGAUGUGGGAAGGCCCAGACAGCCAGGAUGUUGGCUUAGAAGCAGCCAUCAUUUAAAGAAAGCGUAAUAGCUCACUGGUCGAGUCGGCCUGCGCGGAAGAUGUAACGGGGCUAAACCAUGCACCGAAGCUGCGGCAGCGACGCUGAUGCGUUGUUGGGUAGGGGAGCGUUCUGUAAGCCUGUGAAGGUGUGUCGUGAGGCAUGCUGGAGGUAUCAGAAGUGCGAAUGCUGACAUAAGUAACGAUAAAGCGGGUGAAAAGCCCGCUCGCCGGAAGACCAAGGGUUCCUGUCCAACGUUAAUCGGGGCAGGGUGAGUCGACCCCUAAGGCGAGGCCGAAAGGCGUAGUCGAUGGGAAACGGGUUAAUAUUCCCGUACUUGGUGUUACUGCGAAGGGGGGACGGAGAAGGCUAUGUUGGCCGGGCGACGGUUGUCCCGGUUUAAGCGUGUAGGUGUGUGUUCCAGGUAAAUCCGGUUCACUUUAACACUGAGGCGUGACGACGAGGCACUACGGUGCUGAAGCAACAAAUGCCCUGCUUCCAGGAAAAGCCUCUAAGCAUCAGGUAACACGAAAUCGUACCCCAAACCGACACAGGUGGUCAGGUAGAGAAUACCAAGGCGCUUGAGAGAACUCGGGUGAAGGAACUAGGCAAAAUGGUGCCGUAACUUCGGGAGAAGGCACGCUGACACGUAGGUGAAGUGAUUUACUCAUGGAGCUGAAGUCAGUCGAAGAUACCAGCUGGCUGCAACUGUUUAUUAAAAACACAGCACUGUGCAAACACGAAAGUGGACGUAUACGGUGUGACGCCUGCCCGGUGCCGGAAGGUUAAUUGAUGGGGUCAGCGUAAGCGAAGCUCCUGAUCGAAGCCCCGGUAAACGGCGGCCGUAACUAUAACGGUCCUAAGGUAGCGAAAUUCCUUGUCGGGUAAGUUCCGACCUGCACGAAUGGCGUAAUGAUGGCCAGGCUGUCUCCACCCGAGACUCAGUGAAAUUGAACUCGCUGUGAAGAUGCAGUGUACCCGCGGCAAGACGGAAAGACCCCGUGAACCUUUACUAUAGCUUGACACUGAACAUUGAGCCUUGAUGUGUAGGAU
rnacentral:rRNA from 1 species